UACGGAGGGUGCAAGCGUUAUCCGGAUUCACUGGGUUUAAAGGGCGCGUAGGCGGCCUUCUAAGUCGAACGUGAAAUCCCUGGGCUCAACCCAGGAACUGCGUCCGAUACUGGGAGGCUUGAAUCCGGGAGAGGGAUGUGGAAUUCCAGGUGUAGCGGUGAAAUGCGUAGAUAUCUGGAGGAACACCGGUGGCGAAGGCGGCAUCCUGGACCGGUAUUGACGCUGAUGCGCGAAAGCCAGGGGAGCAAACGGG
rnacentral:rRNA from 1 species